CAGUCGCCGCGGGAAUACGGAGGGUGCAAGCGUUAAUCGGAAUUACUGGGCGUAAAGCGUGCGUAGGCGGCUUCUUAAGUCGGAUGUGAAAUCCCUGAGCUUAACUUAGGAAUUGCAUUCGAUACUGGGAAGCUAGAGUAUGGGAGAGGAUGGUAGAAUUCCAGGUGUAGCGGUGAAAUGCGUAGAGAUCUGGAGGAAUACCGAUGGCGAAGGCAGCCAUCUGGCCUAAUACUGACGCUGAGGUACGAAAGCAUGGGGAGCAAACAGGAUUAGAUACCCCAGUAGUCCCUGUCUCUUAUAC
rnacentral:rRNA from 1 species